rnacentral:rRNA from 1 species
UACAGAGGGUGCGAGCGUAAUCGGAAUUACUGGGCGUAAAGCGUGCGUAGACGGUUACAUAAGUCGGGUGUGAAAGCCCCGGGCUCAACCUGGGAAUUGCUUCGAGACUGCGUAGCUAGGGUGCGGAAGAGGGAAGCGGAAUUUCCGGUGUAGCGGUGAAAUGCGUAGAUAUCGGAAGGAACACCAGUGGCGAAAGCGGCUCCUGGUCCAGCACCGACGUCAGGCACGAAAGCGUGGGGAGCAAACAGG